UGCCGCGUGAGUGAUGAAGGCCUUCGGUUGUAAACUACUUUCGGCGGGGACGAUAAUGACGGUACCCGCAGAAGAAGCUCCGGCUAACUUCGUGC
rnacentral:rRNA from 1 species